AGUGAACGCUGGCGGUAGGCCUAACACAUGCAAGUCGAACGGCAGCACAGGAGAGCUUGCUCUCUGGGUGGCGAGUGGCGGACGGGUGAGGAAUACAUCGGAAUCUACUCUGUCGUGGGGGAUAACGUAGGGAAACUUACGCUAAUACCGCAUACGACCUACGGGUGAAAGCAGGGGAUCUUCGGACCUUGCGCGAUUGAAUGAGCCGAUGUCGGAUUAGCUAGUUGGCGGGGUAAAGGCCCACCAAGGCGACGAUCCGUAGCUGGUCUGACAGGAUGAUCAGCCACACUGGAACUGAGACAAGGUCCAGACUCCUACGAGAGGGAGCAGUGGGGAAUAUUGGACAAUGGGCGCAAGCCUGAUCCAGCCAUACCGCGUGGGUGAAGAAGGCCUUCGGGUUGUAAAGCCCUUUUGUUGGGAAAGAAAUCCAGCUGGCUAAUACCCGGUUGGGAUGACGGUACCCAAAGAAUAAGCACCGGCUAACUUCGUGCCAGCAGCCGCCGUAA
rnacentral:rRNA from 1 species